rnacentral:rRNA from 1 species
GUGGGGAAUAUUGGGCAAUGGACGCAAGUCUGACCCAGCAACGCCGCGUGAAGGAAGAAGGCUUUCGGGUUGUAAACUUCUUUUGUCAGGGAAGAGUAGAAGACGGUACCUGACGAAUAAGCCACGGCUAACUACGUGCCAGCAGCCGCGGUAAUACGUAGGUGGCAAGCGUUGUCCGGAUUUACUGGGUGUAAAGGGCGUGCAGCCGGGCCGGCAAGUCAGAUGUGAAAUCUGGAGGCUUAACCUCCAAACUGCAUUUGAAACUGUAGGUCUUGAGUACCGGAGAGGUUAUCGGAAUUCCUUGUGUAGCGGUGAAAUGCGUAGAUAUAAGGAAGAACACCAGUGGCGAAGGCGGAUAACUGGACGGCAACUGACGGUGAGGCGCGAAAGCGUGGGGAGCAAACAGGAUUAGAAACCCUAGUAGUCCC